UACAGAGGUGGCAAGCGUUGUUCGGAAUUAUUGGGCGUAAAGAGCUCGUAGGCGGUUUGUCGCGUCUGCUGUGAAAACUCGGGGCUUAACUCCGGGCCUGCAGUGGGUACGGGCAGACUAGAGUGCGGUAGGGGAGACUGGAAUUCCUGGUGUAGCGGUGAAAUGCGCAGAUAUCAGGAGGAACACCGGUGGCGAAGGCGGGUCUCUGGGCCGUAACUGACGCUGAGAAGCGAAAGCGUGGGGAGCGAACAGG
rnacentral:rRNA from 1 species